rnacentral:ncRNA from 1 species
GCGAGCCAUGUGAUAGGAAAUCUUCCUGCACGGUUUGGAGAGCACUGAAUUAGAAUGAAAGGUUCACCACCAUAACAUUGCAUGCAAGGGGAGCUUGUCGAUUUGCAAAUUGGCCUAGAUCGUAAUUCACUUCUGACUCCGU